rnacentral:rRNA from 2 species
UCGAGAAUUUUUCACAAUGGGCGCAAGCCUGAUGGAGCGACGCCGCGUGGGGGAUGAAUGGCUUCGGCCCGUAAACCCCUGUCAUUCGCGAUCAAACGUUGGUAUUUAAAAGAUGCCAGCCUGAUAGUAGCGGAAGAGGAAGGGACGGCUAACUCUGUGCCAGCAGCCGCGGUAAUACAGAGGUCCCGAGCGUUGUUCGGAUUCACUGGGCGUAAAGGGUGCGUAGGUGGUGAGGUAAGUCGGAUGUGAAAGCUCGGAGCUCAACUCCGAAAUGGCAUUGGAAACUACCUUGCUUGAGGAUUGGAAGGGGGACUGGAAUGCUUGGUGUAGCAGUGAAAUGCGUAGAUAUCAAGCGGAACACCAGUGGCGAAGGCGAGUCCCUGGACAACACCUGACACUGAGGCACGAAAGCUAGGGGAGCAAACAGG